CUUGAGUAGUAAUAGUUAUGUUCUUGAAACUCAAAGAAUUUGGCGGUGUUUUAGUCCUUUCAGAGGAACCUGUCCCGUAAUCGAUAUUCCACGCAAAACCUUACUUAAGUUAAUUUAAUUUGUAUACCGCCGUCGUCAGAAUGUCUUUAGAAAGUAGGAAUUUUCUUAAAUUUUUAUUAAAAAUGAUGUCAGGUCAAGGUGCAGUUUAUAUUUAAGUGGAGAUGGGUUACAAUAAAUUUAUUUAAAAAUGAAUUUGUCUUUGAAAUAAGGCAUUGAAAGUGGAUUUGAUAGUAAUUUAAUUAAUAAUGUUAAUUUGAUUUUGGCUCUAAAAUAUGCACACAUCGCCCGUCGCUCUUA
rnacentral:rRNA from 1 species